rnacentral:pre_miRNA from 1 species
AAUGUACCCCAUCCGUCCGAAAAUACUUGUCCUAAAGAUGAAUGUAUCUAGACUUAUUUUAGUUAUAGAUAUAUGCAUUAUAUUCAUUUUUAGGACAAGUAUUUUCGAACGAAGGAAGUAAUUA